rnacentral:snRNA from 1 species
AACCUUGCGCAGUGGCAAUAUCGUAACCAUUGAAGGCCUCCUGAGGUGCGAUUAUUGCUAGUUGAAAACUUUUAAGGCGCCACGGUAGCCGAGCGGGUUAAGAGGCGAGACCUGCAAAGCUAAUAUGUAUUGUGGUAC